AAUAAAAUGGCUGACUUAAAGCGAUAAAUUGUAAAUUUAUUUAUGAAAUUUUUUUUCUUUUAUUA
rnacentral:tRNA from 1 species